CAACAACAACAACAACAACAACAACAGUACAUAAAAACCAUAAACAUAGUAAAGCAAGACUCUCCUCUCCUCCAGAAAACUCCCAGUUUAGUUCGGCCUGUUUUUCAGAGUAGAAAGCUUGGUCUUUGUUAACUAAGCAGAGAUGAGCGAUCCUAAGUAUGCGUAUCCCUACCCUGCUCAAGGUUAUUAUCAAGGACCCCCAGUGAUGGCACCGCCACAAUAUGCAGCUCCACCACCUAGGAGGGAUCCUGGUUUCCUUGAGGGAUGUUUAGCGGCUUUAUGUUGCUGUUGCCUUAUUGACGAGUGUUGCUGCGACCCUUCCAUUCUCUUUAUCUGCUAAUCAACCAAGAAUAAUUUCACCUCCUAUAAAUAUAUAAUUGUAGUGUAAUGCUUGAGCAAAACUUAUGUUUUUACGUUUUAGUUAUAGUUCUUGUCUAUCUUCAUCAUUGUGGUGUGUAGUACUUACUUCUCAGACUAUAUUCAUCAAUUUUAGCUUUUAUCUGGAUUGUUGGGUUGCUA